rnacentral:antisense_RNA from 1 species
GUGGGAGCUGGCUUGCCUGCGAUAGCGGAGUGUUAGCCAGAAUAUCCGGUACUGAUACACCGCCAUCGCAGGCAAGCCAGCUCCCAC